ACACCAUGGGUUUCUAACAGACUGUGGAGCAAGGUCUAUGGCAUUUAAUCACAUUCAUCAUUCACAGGAUCAUUGUAUUGAUUUCCAUCCAUACCUUUGAAAAAUGAUUUGUAUCAAAUAAUUUGACUCAUGAAGAAUCCGAUAAUCCAAACAUGAGAUCUAGUGCUGCACUGAGCGUGGGGGGCAGAUUGGGGCAGAUGGCAAAAGUGCACUUUUGAAAGCAGAAAGUUCAGAGUGAGUUAUAAAUGCAAAUGGCAUUUCCUCUACUCAGAUUUACUCUACUUUAAAAAAACAAAAAAAAAGUGAGUUUUUCAAACUCAGCCAUGACUUACAGGCAGCUUCCAAGACCAUUUCAAAAGACACUUCAGAUAUGUCCAAAGCAAUCUCAUAAUAACAUAAAAGCCCAAAAGGCCUGAAGCAUGAAGUAUAGGUAUAUCAAUGAAAUAAUGAAGUUUACACAUUUUAUCAUGCGUCUAAGACAUUAGAUUGAACACAUGACGCAAGCUAUGGCUUUAUCAGUGUUCUUAGCAAGAUGGAUGUCUUCUGCUUAAUUCAGAAAAAUGUCAAAAAGAAAAUCGCUUUUUUUUCUGAAUAUAUAAAAUCAGACAUAAAGUAGAAUAUUUUUGUUUUUGCACUUUUGUUUUUUUCCAUAUCUUUACAAACGCACAGGCAACCUGCCCCAUUGAAGUUAGCCUGAGAGGCCUCGAAAGGAGUCAUUCUGUACUCCGCCCCGUAAGUGAGUAUUAAUAAUCAGUGAGGUGGUGUAUUGUUCGGGGGAACUUGAUGGAAAAGGUUUCUCUGCUUCUAAGAUUUUAAACGGCCACCAUAAAUAUCUGAAUAACCUUAACAUCCCUUAUUUAGAGCCCAUGUCUUUGUCAUUCAGUGCUUUACAAAAAACAUGUGAAUGCAUUAGCAGUGGUGAACUCAUCUUCUUGUCAUGUUUUACACAUUUGAGCUGCAAUAUGUUACUGUACUGUAUACCUGGAGAAUCAAUGAUGUGUUUUAUGUGAAGGCACAGUUGACCUUCAACAGAAAUGAAUGGCCUUAAACCAUCAUGUACGUUUCAGUAAUUCAUUUUUUUUAUGUUUUAAGUGAAUGAGAUUGUCGAGCAUUGUGUACGAGUCCCUCCUUUUUUCUUCUGUCUGUUGUGACAACCAUAGAUCUUCUGUUUGAAAUGGCUUAAAGUGUUUCUAUGGUUUUCAUACUAAGCCUCUUUAUGGUACUGUAACAUGAUACUUAUUUAAAUAAAUGUUUUACAUGGUAAAUAUUUGUGUUUGUU
rnacentral:lncRNA from 1 species